AUGCGAGCUAAGGCAUCACCAUUAUUUGCCCAAAUCGUUGAAUGAACUUGCCAAAAAUCAUAACCAGCAUUUUGCCGAGUAUAUAUCAUAACUUGUUCUAAAAACACUCUUGAAACAAGAUUCUGAAUAACAUUUGUUCGGUCUAAGCAAUCCAAACAAUUGGUGCGAAAAACACCAUCUUGUACCACAAUGGAUUGUCCUUCGUUGUUCUCAAAAUAAAACCCGAAAGUUUCUGCAUCGC